rnacentral:rRNA from 1 species
UACGAAGGGGGCUAGCGUUGCUCGGAAUCACUGGGCGUAAAGCGCACGUAGGCGGCUUCUUAAGUCAGGGGUGAAAUCCUGGAGCUCAACUCCAGGACUGCCUUUGAUACUGAGGAGCUUGAGUCCGGGAGAGGUGAGUGGAACUGCGAGUGUAGAGGUGAAAUUCGUAGAUAUUCGCAAGAACACCAGUGGCGAAGGCGGCUCACUGGCCCGGUACUGACGCUGAGGUGCGAAAGCGUGGGGAGCAAACAGG